UGAUGCAGAGUUUUUUCAGGCGCAUGUGCAUUUCUUUUUCUAUUCUUUUAUACUUUUAUAUUGACAACGUUAUUGUCCGGUUUAAAUAUUAUAGAUCAUUUAGGCUAAAAAACAACCUGAGGUUAGAAUAUAAACAUCGUUUGACAUGUUUCUAUGAACUUUACUGAUACAAUUUGGAUUUUUUUGUCUGAUUGUUUUGACUGAGUUUGAGCCUGUGGAUUACUGAAGAAAACGCGCUAACAAAAUGUUAGGUUUUUGGAUAUAAAGAGACUUCAUCAAACAAAAGGAACAUUUAUUGAGUAAAUGAAUAUCUUCUGAUUGCCACCAUAUGAAGAUCAACAAAGGAGGCGUGUCUUCCCCACGGCCGGAGCGGAGCGCAGCAAGACGCGAGUCUGAAGGAACCGAUCUGGCUCGUCUCUCUAUCUGAACAAAUCAACUACUUUCUCAGCUCAUUCUAAUCGAAGACCGCCCGUGAAUGGAUUUCUCCCGGAUUUGCCCAGACUAUCAUGGAUGCCCCACCGUUAGCAGAGUGGGAAGGUUGUUUCUUGGCGCAGUGAGCUGGACACGCAGCGCUUGCUAAUGGAUCUGGGGAAACGAAUGAUACCUUCUCCCUGACUGACCAUGCCGUGAUCUUGCCGUGGGCCGCCACCCUGUUUAACGUCAAAAGAAACAUUUCGGGGGAAUCUACUGAUCCAGGGAAUAAAUAGUGUGGCAUCACACAGACACCAUGAAGAUUACCUCCCCGCUCAUAAGUAAAGCGAGAUUCAGGUGCACCGUCAGGCUUCUACUGCUGCUAUUACUAUGUGUGGGAUAUUCUCGCGGGAUGCCACAUGUUUUAAGAUUUGGUAAGAUUGCUAUUUUCUUUCUCUGUUAAACAUUCUUACUGUCUUGAUGUAGUAGCUUAGCUAUUCCCUAACUCUGUAACUGUUGUCAUUUCAUGGCUGGGCGCCAUAGCUGUCUUAUAUACCUCCUAGUAGACGUGUUGCCGUGACCCCACGGGUCCUCUUGUCCCAGACUUAUUGGAGUGAGCGCGUGCGCCCCGGAGCCACAUCCCCGAAAUAACUACUACCCCUAUGCACGGUGUUGUUUACCACAGCUGUCUAGGGACAUUGCAUUAUCUCUUUUGUCCUGAAACCUUCAUGCAUGACAACAUUUCCAUGCAGAAUGAUCCGACAGCAGACUAGUACAACUGGAGUCCAUAUAGAAAUAUAUAUAGCCUACAAUUAUGCAUAACUGGAUUUGAUCAUCAUUUGUGGAACUUGUUUCAAAUAUGCGAUGGAGGAAAAGCAACUUUUCCAAAUAGCAGUGUCUGAUUAUGUCUUCAUGCCAAAGUGCCAUGUUGUUGGUGAAUCAUUUAUAUGUUGGAGAAUAAAUUAU